GUGACCAAGACUAUGCGUAUAACUUGUAAACUAAUUAAUUCAAAACAUACUAUAUUGUGUUCUUUUACAGUCAUGACUGCUGGGUAUUCGUGAUAUUGUAUGCAUUGUAUAUCCUCCGUGAUGGCAGAUGUUAUAUUUCCCAUCAAUUUGAUGCAGCAAAAUGUAGACUUGAUAUCGCCUCGCUACUCUACAAACACCGAAAACCUUACGUGAAGAAGACGAGGCAGGCUUUUAAAGAGGAGGAGAAUGUAAUAGAAUAACAAAUAUGAAAAUAUUUGUAAAUGAAUUUUAUGCUUCAGUUGGUAGCCUUUUAUAUUUUUUUCAAGCAGUGAAGGUGUUUGUACUCAAUACUGUCAU
rnacentral:lncRNA from 1 species